GCAGAACUUGACUGGGGCAAACGAUUUCAAAUAAUUCAGGGGAUUGCAAGGGGGCUGCUCUACCUCCAUCGAGAUUCUUGCCUUAGGGUCAUACAUCGAGACUUGAAAGUAAGCAACAUUCUCUUGGAUGAAAAGAUGAACCCGAAAAUUUCAGAUUUUGGGCUAGCACGAAUGUUUGAGGGCACUCAAGUUUUGGUGAACAGUCAAAAAAUUGUUGGAACACUGUAAGCUCUCUAGGCCUAUUUGAAUUAUCAAUUCAUUGAGUCAAUCUCUUCAAGCAGACAAAAAUGAUUGAUUUACCACAAUGAACAUCUCUGUUCAUGCAUGUUUUAUCCCCAUUGUCUAUUGAUACAAUCAAAGAGUAGAUAACAUGUUUAACUUAACUGCAGUGGUUAUAUGUCUCCUGAGUAUGCCAUGGGUAGAAUAUUUUCCGAGAGGUCUGAUGUCUAUAGCUUCGGAGUGUUGCUAUUGGAGAUAGUAAGCGGCAAAAAGAACACGUCCCUGUAUGACCAGGGAUAUCUGAAUCUUCUUUCCUACGUAAGUCCCAAAUUGCAAACUUAAUCAAUAUCGUAAGUUUGCUGCAAUAUUCUGACAGUGUUCUCACUUACAGGCAUGGCAAUUGUGGAGUGAUGGCAAAGCAUUGGACCUAAUGGAUGUAGCAAUGGUUGUUAGCUCUCCUUUGGAGAUAACAAGAUGCAUCCAUGUUGGGCUUCUCUGUGUUCAGGACCAUGCCACGGAUAGACCAAACAUGUCGAAUGUGGUUUUGAUGUUAAGUGGUGAGUCAAAUCUUCCUCAGCCGAGGCAGCCUAUGUUCACUUUCCAAUCUGAAAUGCCAAAUCGUUCUAUUCCAUUACAGCAAGAAAGCAUCUGGUCUGUUAACACUAUCACUAAUACAAUGGUCGAAGGAAGAUGACGACCAUUUAUAUUCAUUUUUAUUUUCCCUUUUUUGGAGAUGACUUUGUUGUUAUUUUUUAAGAUUUUAGUGUUAAUUCAAUUCAAGGAUGGCUUUAGUCCACUCUGAACAAAGGGUCGAAUGGGCUGCUCCACUUUAUACAUUGAUUUUAGGCUGCAAAUUAGGGGUUUAGAAUGUACACUUUUUUGACAGAACAUAAUCGACGCAACAAUUUGUUCUAAUUUACAGUAGCCGGAACUGUUGUUAUAAUUAAGGAGAACUACCAUGUAAUUGUCAUCACUCUCAUCACCAGUUGCAUUUUGAAGAUUCGAUUUCCUAGGUUUUUGGACGAAAGAUAUCAUUACCAAAGACUAAAGUCCCCCCAAGAGAAGCAUGAGCAUUGGCACAGGACAAAGUAUUUCCAGCUUCAGUAUGAUUCCCAGAUAUGAUUUACCUUCUUCAGAUUUGAUAAGAAGUCAUCUAUGCCCGCGGCAAUUAAAUGUCAGUUAGUGAUCAAGUCAAUGACUGAACAAUUCAAUUUGGAUAAGCUUCGCAUUUAAAUGGAAGGGUAAUGUCAGCUAGUGAUCAAAAUCGGAGCUAUGUGAUCCUUAAACUGAAGAGCUGAAGAGUUCCUGGUUUGCUUGGAAUCCAUAUAAUAUCUAGCUUCAUUGAACAUUAAACUUGUGGGGAAAAUUACCUUAUUAAUCCUAAACCUACUGUAGAAAUGCGAAUUCAUUCCUAAUUUUUUUUUUAAAAUUUUGCUAAUUUAGUCCCUGUGCAAAAUUCUAAUGUAGUCAUUAUGGACAAUUUUUAUUGAAAAUCACUGGCGACGGUAAUGACUAGAUUAUUACGUUAGUGAUUUUUAGCAAAAAUUAGCCGGAAAGACAACGUAUUUUUCGCAAAGGUUAAAUUGGCAAAAUUGAAAUUUUUUAGAUAGAAUCGACAAUUGUGUAACAAAUUUAGGAUUAAUUGGACUAUUUCCGCAAAGCGCAUUGACAAAACAUUUGGCCAACAAGUUUCAUCCCAAGCCGCUUUGACCCCUUCAUGGCAUGCUUCGUGAGCAAAUCGCACAACUCGAGCCACAGCCUAUGCUUGGUCUUCCCCUUAAUCGAGAAAAACCGAUCGUCAUUCAGCACCGACGCCAACCUCUCCGCGGCCUCUUGCCACAGCUUCGAAUUAUGUUGGAAGAUAUGAUUCUAUAAUUUUGUAUGAUAAGCAAUCAAGUUUAUUUUAGGAUUAGAAAGAUAGGAAAAGAUAAGAGAAUAUUUCUUUUCCUUUAUUAAUUCUUUCUUUGUAAUUAAAUACAUGAUACUGUACAUAAAUUACAAGUCAAUUGAAUAAAGAAACGACUUCUUCUUCUUCAUCAUCGGUUCCUCACGAAUCCAGUAGAUACACUACUUUGCUGCAUCUCCUUUUGUGACAUGGUAUCAGAGUCGUCUGUGGUUCUGAAUUGACUUUUGCUUCCGCUUCGACUACCUCGCAAAGGAACUCCAAAUUCCAGAGAAGUGUUGCUGUAGGAAUCAUUCUUUUUUGAUUGCCUAAUUGAGGAACCAAAUCUGCAGAAAGAGUUACCGGAGGAAUCAGUUUUUUUCAAUAUGACAAAGCUGCAAGACCCUACCUCAACUCCAGUCGACCAAUUUGCACCAGGAGCAUCGCUGCAAGCCAAAGGAGACCAAGACUCAUCCACUGUAAUUCCUGCAUCAGAACAAUAGGAACAACAGAUCCAGACUCAAGUGCAACACGCGCAAUGGCAACAACAGGCUCAGGCUAAUCCGGGGCAACUUUUCGCGGGCUACCCUUACCAAUGGAUGCCGUAUCCAUGGUUCCAUGGGCCGAUCCCCAAUGCAUCAUCGCUUGGCUACCAAAGCAGCGUGCGAGCCGAUGGAGGUCUACCAACUGGUGAAGGGGCAAAUCCAACCACCGGCCCAGAGCAGACGGGCGGAGCAACUGGACUGGGUAUGGGAACGAAUCCCUACCCGGGUUUUCACAAUGCGGGUCACAGAUUUGGGUUGAGCGGUCCGGGUCAGGGAACAAAUCUCUACCCGAACCCUACACCCAAUUUUUUUCCAUAUCAGAUCCUUGUUGCCAGUGGUCGGCCGAAACCCGGCGAUCCUCUUCACACAACAAAUGGCAACAGACCAGAGUUAAAAAUCAUCAGUCAGCAAUUAACGGGUGCUGACAACUAUUCGAGUUGGUCGCGCGAAUUCCGGCGGGCACUAGUAACAAAGGACAAAGAGGUUUUCAUCGAAGGAAUGUUCCCGACUCCAUUCGACGAGCGAAUAGCACGGCUUUGGAGGCGAUGCAACCAGUUAGUCAGAACCUGGAUUGGCAACUGCAUCAGACCGGAAGUGGCGGCCGUGCUUCCCUGACGGAGGAUUUGAAGAAAAUGUGGGAAAAUAUACAAGAGAUGUUUGGAAAACUUGAUCAGGUUAAAAUUUUCUCACUUACCCAAUAGAUUUCAGAUCUGAAACAGGGAAAUAUGACUAUCGCGACGGUAUUCAACAAACUUUCGGCGCUGUGGAACGAAUUGGAAGCAGCCGAAGAAAAGUUCGACUAGCCCGAUUACGUCCAGCAACAGUACAAGAAAAUGCAAGAAAGAGAGAAGACGACGAGGUUUCUCCUCAUCCUCAAUGAAACGUACCUGGAGUUCCAAUCUCAAGUACUCACCGUGGAGCCCAUGCCAAGUCUCAGCCAAAUCUAUCAACUCGCCAUACAGGAGGAAAGCCAACAAAGAUCGGUGGACCAUGGCAAGGGAGGAGACGGAAUCGCUCUAAUGGCAAGGAGCCAAAUCCACCACUCGAAGAACACGGGGAGAGGGAGAGAGGUGGAUCUAGGGUUAAGCGAAAACCCUAGAUCGUUUAUAAAGAAGUCGACGGACGGUGCAGAUUGUUUCCAGCAAUCGGACGGCCAUCAUCUCUUCCUGGGAGCGACAAGAUCUGACGGUCCGCAUGGCUUCAACUUUGCUGGAUCGGACGGCUCAUGAUCAGUGCACUUCCAUGGGCCAGAUGGGCCUAUUUCGCGUGGCAAUUUCUUUGCCGGAUCAGAUGGUUCGUAUGGGCCUAUUUCGGCCCAAGCUCUUCAGCCCACAACCAGGCCUUCAUUCGGUGCAAAAAUUAAUGGGCCAAAAGGGAAAGGUAAAAUGUAUUGUGAUUAUUGUAAACGACCGCAUCAUACAAUUGAAAACUGCUGGAAAUUGCAUGGAAAACCAGGAGAAAAAGAAAAAGGAAAAUUUUCCUCAGUCUUUCAGGUGUUGGGUCAACCCAUGGGAAAAUCAAUUACCCAUGAGCAAUAUCACGAGCUGGUGGAAGCAUUGAAGAAAUUGGAUGCUACAAAUAAGGGUGGAAGUUUCACAGGUGCGUCAUAUUGUCUAAUGAAUUCAAUAUCGAAAAGUGCAUGGAUUAUUGAUUCGGGUGCUAGUGACCACAUAGUCUGUGAUAAAACUUUCAUUUCCGAUAUUACUAAGCUGUCUUUCCCAACAUCAAUACAACUUCCGAAUGGACAUGCCACUAGGGUCACCAUGACUGGCACUGUGAACCUUAGUUCCCUCAUCACCUUUCGAAAUGUGCUUUAUGUUCCUAAUUUCCAAUUCAAUCUAAUCUCAGUUGCCCGAGCUUGUGAAGAAAAUUCAUGUCAAAUCCUUUUCCAGUUUGAUAAAUGCUUCUUUCAGGCCCCUUCGACUAGCAAACUGAUGGGCUUGGGUAGAGUAAAUCAAGGAUUGUAUUUUUGGAUGGAAUUUCCACAUUCUCUUAGAUUAUCUCCUGUUGAAUCAUUGUGUAAUGCUACUACCAGCGAUAUGAAUUUUCUUAAUCAUGAAAGAUUAGGUCACAGUGCAUCCUUUCCUUGUCCUGAAUGUCCCAUUUGUCCCUUGGCAAAACAAACACGUAAUCCUUUCCAAGAUAGCACUUCUCGAGCAAAUGACAUUUUUUCCUUGAUUCAUGCUGAUGUUUGGGGGCCUUAUCACACCUUGAAUCAUGACGGGUCUCGAUUUUUCCUUACUAAUUACUCUAUUUCAUCCAAAUACUAUGUAUAAUAUAUGAACUCCUAUGAGUGUGAAAAAUAGACCCGAUUAGUCGAUUUAAUUGGAAUUAAUUGUAAAGUCAUCCAUAAU
rnacentral:lncRNA from 1 species